AUUGAACGCUGGCGGCGGGCCUAACACAUGCAAGUCGAACGAGUGGCGGACGGGUGAGUAAUGUCUGGGAAACUGCCUGAUGGAGGGGGAUAACUACUGGAAACGGUAGCUAAUACCGCGUACCAUCAGAUGAGCCCAGAUGGGAUUAGCUAUUUGGUGGGGUAACGGCUCACCAGGGCGACGCUCCCUAGCUUGUCUGAGAGGAUGACCCGCCACAUUGGAACUGAGACACGGUCCAGACUCCUACGGUAGGCAGCAGUGGGGAAUAUUGACCAAUGGGCGCAAGCUUGAUGCAGCCAUGCCGCGUGGAUGAAGAAGGCCUUCGGGUUGUAAAGUACUUUCAGCGGGGAGGCGUUACCCGCAGAAGAAGCACCGGCUAACUACGUGCCAGCAGCCGCGGUAAUAC
rnacentral:rRNA from 1 species